CCCUUAGAUGUCCUGGGCCGCACGCGCGCUACACUGACGUGUUCAACAAGUUUCUCCUAGUUCGACAGGACUGGGAAAUCUUUGAACGCAUGUCGUGAUAGGGAUAGAUCAUUGCAAUUAUUGAUCUUGAACGAGGAAUUCCUAGUAAACGCGAGUCAUCAGCUCGCAUUGAUUACGUCCCUGCCCUUUGUACACACCGCCCGUCGCACCUACCGAUUGAAUGUUUCGGUGAAGAUUCCGGAUAGGACUGAUUUGAUUUAUUUCAUUUCUGACCUAAAAGCUAUCUAAACCUCAACAUUUAGAGGAAGGUGAAGUCGUAACA
rnacentral:rRNA from 1 species